rnacentral:rRNA from 1 species
UACGUAGGGGGCUAGCGUUGUCCGGAAUCAUUGGGCGUAAAGCGCGUGUAGGCGGCCCGGUAAGUCCGCUGUGAAAGUCGGGGGCUCAACCCUCGAAUGCCGGUGGAUACUGUCGGGCUAGAGUCCGGAAGAGGAGAGUGGAAUUCCUGGUGUAGCGGUGAAAUGCGCAGAUAUCGGGAGGAACACCAAUGGCGAAGGCAGCUCGCUGGGACGGUACUGACGCUGGAGACGCGAAAGCGUGGGGAGCAACGGG